GUUUUAAUAGUUUAAACAAAACCUUGGUCUUGUAAAUCAAUAAUGAGAGAUUUCUCUUAAAACU
rnacentral:tRNA from 1 species